UACGUAGGGUGCGAGCGUUGUCCGGAAUUAUUGGGCGUAAAGAGCUUGUAGGCGGUCUGUCGCGUCUGCUGUGAAAAUCCGGGGCUCAACCCCGGACUUGCAGUGGGUACGGGCAGUCUAGAGUGUGGUAGGGGAGAUCGGAAUUCCUGGUGUAGCGGUGAAAUGCGCAGAUAUCAGGAGGAACACCGGUGGCGAAGGCGGAUCUCUGGGCCAUUACUGACGCUGAGGAGCGAAAGCGUGGGGAGCGAACAGG
rnacentral:rRNA from 1 species